ACUUUAUUGUAUAUAAGCACUGUGCUAAAAUUGCAGAAACUGGGACCAUAUCUUGGUUUUUGUAAUAAUGCCAGCAGAGUACACACAAGAAGAAAAGUAACUGCAUUAGAUUGUGAAGACUGGGGUGGACCUGCUUCUGAACGUCCAGUGCCCUUUGUCUUAAGAUUUGGUGUAGUAUAU
ensembl:snoRNA